CGGAGAACGCUGCGGCAUGCCUAAUACAUGCAAGUCGAAACGCUGAAGCACUCUGCUUGCAGAGUGCGGAUGAGUGGCGAACGGGUGAGUAACACGUGGGAAAUCUGCCUAAGAGUGGGGGAUAACAUUCGGAAACGGAUGCUAAUACCGCAUAGAUUCUUGAACCGCAUGGUUCUGGAAAGAAAGACGGCUUUGCUGUCGCUUUUAGAUGAUCCCGCGGCGUAUUAGUUAGUUGGUGGGGUAAUGGCCUACCAAGACCAUGAUACGUAGCCGACCUGAGAGGGUGAUCGGCCACACUGGGACUGAGACACGGCCCAGACUCCUACGGGAGGCAGCAGUAGGGAAUCUUCCACAAUGGGUGCAAACCUGAUGGAGCAAUGCCGCGUGAAUGAAGAAGGUCUUCGGAUCGUAAAGUUCUGUUAUUAGAGAAGAACAAGUCGAGGAGUAACUGUCUCGACUUUGACGGUACCUAACCAGAAAGUCACGGCUAACUACGUG
rnacentral:rRNA from 1 species